AUUGAACGCUGGCGGCAUGCCUUACACAUGCAAGUCGAACGGUAACGGGCCUUCGGGUGCCGACGAGUGGCGAACGGGUGAGUAAUACAUCGGAACGUGCCCGAUCGUGGGGGAUAACGAGGCGAAAGCUUUGCUAAUACCGCAUACGAUCUACGGAUGAAAGCAGGGGACCGCAAGGCCUUGCGCGGACGGAGCGGCCGAUGGCAGAUUAGGUAGUUGGUGGGAUAAAAGCUUACCAAGCCGACGAUCUGUAGCUGGUCUGAGAGGAUGAUCAGCCACACUGGGACUGAGACACGGCCCAGACUCCUACGGGAGGCAGCAGUGGGGAAUUUUGGACAAAGGGCGCAAGCCUGAUCCAGCCAUGCCGCGUGCAGGAUGAAGGCCUUCGGGUUGUAAACUGCUUUUGUACGGAACGAAAAGCCUUCUUUUAAUACAGGAGGGUCAUGACGGUACCGGAAGAAUAAGCACCGGCUAACUACGUG
rnacentral:rRNA from 1 species